CCACCAGCAACCCAUGGAGGUGCGCGUGAUUCUGACUGAAUCCAUUCUCCAGAUGAAGGAGGGGGCACGUGGGAGGGGAGAGGGACUUGUUUGAGUCUCCAUGGCCAAGAAGCGAUUGGAUCCAGGAUUUGUGCCUGGGCCUGAAUGAUUCCAGAGCUGGCUUCUUAAUCCAUAUUCAGACACCCAGACUGGCUUCUAGAACCGUCUCAGCACCAGCCCCAGGAUCCGGAGCAAACCUUCAAUAUUUCACCAAAACAUUGGGCAGAGACCGUGCGGACCCGGCCCCUGGGGAUCUGGCCCCUAGGGACAGUCACACCUGCACUCUCCUCCCUUCCCAGGGCCAAUCUCAGAGUGGCCCUGCGGUCGUCACCAGAAGAGCAAACUCCAUCCUGUCCCCUUCUCCUCCCAUCUGAGCAUCUGCACCCCCCACCGUUAGGGGAAGGAGACAGCAGUGUCCUGGAGGCAGGGGAACAAGGACCGGGGGCCGAGGGGCCCAAACUGGGGCCCAAUGUGGAAUGUCACACUCCGUGUCUGAGGGUUCCAGCGCGUCAAACAAGUCUCUGUUCAAACAGAAAGACAAAAAUGCCCACCUCAAGGCAGAAGCAGGCGCCAUCUGUACCUUCCUUGAAAGACUGUUUUUCUAGGCACCGACUUGUGCGUAUCUGUGCACAACAUGGCUGUGCGUCCGUGACACUCAGAUCUCGCCUGUCCACGCUCAGAGUGAUGCUGACACACAGGGCUGAGCCUGGUGCUUAGCACGGAGACACAAUGUGCUAAGGAUUAAGGUGAGGAAAGGGGACUUAUGUGGGCACGGCCAGCCUUUGGCAGAAAACCCAAGCAAGCAAGCAUACUCCAGAAAGAAAGGCACUGUGGGACGGACGGCUCAGUGGUGAGCAGCACUGGCUGUGAAGUCAGAUGGACGAUGUUCAUGUUCCCAGGACUCUCAAAGUUCCGUGACCUUGGGAAAUCCUCAUCUGCUCAGCCGUCCCAGUUCCUCUGUAACCGGGCACAACAUCCAGCGCCGUUACUCCCUGCGGCCUGUCGUGCAGAUUAACACUCGGCGCACGGUAUGUGCUCUUACCAAUUGGCCAUUGUCGCCGCUGUGGUUGUUGUUUUUACUAUUGUUAUUUUUGUUGUUAGUAUUAGUAUGAUUAGUAUUUGCAGGACUCGCUGUUAACGUUCUUGGGCCCACGUCGCUGUCCACGCCCCUGAGGUAGAAAACUGCACCAGUCGGUGCCUGACCUAAGAAGCCAUCUCAGGAGCCUCCCUCCUGCAGCCCAGCUAGUAGGGAAGCAGGCUGUCAUUUCAAAAUCCCUCUCCCGUUUGUGAGGACUGCUCUGGAUCCAUCAGCCUUUCCACCGUUCAAUGCAGAAGCAGCAGCGACACCCUCUUCCUCUCUCCAGUCAUCACGGCAUAGUCUCCCAGGAUAGCAGGUUACCCAGCUGCCCCAUGUCCCCGAGAGGAGGCCCCAGACCUGAGGAGACCAAGGCAUAGGAAGUGACCCUGAUUUCCCUGAGCAAGGGCCACCUCUCUGUGAGCCGGGAGAGAUCACCUUGUUCACACACAAGAGGAAACCACGGUAGCACUCUGAAGAAUCAGGGUGAGAUGUAUGCUUCUCGGGCUUUUGAAAGCACAGAAAUCUCCUUCCCUCCUUCCCCGGGAAUAUAAGACAGCCAUCCUGCAAACAGGCGAGGAUUCCAGCCCCGCCACCCAUGCGUCCCCACAAACCAAGGAAAUUCUGGUCAUCUUUCUCUCUUAUACAUUGUGUAAGGGAAACACCAUACUCAGCUCUUUUUUCACAUGCUACUAAUUUUUCAAACUACACUCACCUCUCUCUGGGACAUUCUCUCUAGCAACCAAUCCGUGCACAUCCUGAGUCAACAGUCUCUGUAUUUGCUUAUGAUCUCUGGAAGACAGGGACCAAAGCCAGAGGAACUCUGUGGGACACUCAGGACAUCUGCCCUGGCCUUCAAGGAUGUUGUAAUGAAUAUAUGAGAUAAAGCCAGAAUAUUUAAGCAAGUGUCGGUUAUCACUGAGAGCAGCUGGGGUGUAAAAAAAUUACAGAAGAAUGCCUGCAACAGGCAGCCUCUAAGGUGGCCACAUUAAAAUGGCCACCUCUAAGAUGGCUGCUUCAAAAUGGCCACCUCCAAGUGUUCCUCACCUCCCAGUAGGCAUGGCCUUGUAUAGUUUCCGCUCACUUCUAAUGGAUAGAAGAAAUAAACAUCCACAUCAUCCAAGAUUGUGACUUGUGUUCUCAUUCUCUCCCCAUCUCUCUCUCUCCCUCUCCUUCUUUUUCUCUCCCUCUCUCUCUCUCUCUUUCUGCCUCUCUCUCCUUCAUUUGAUGGAGGCAAGCUGCCAUGUUGUGGGUAACCCUGUGAAGAGGCCUUAGUGAGAACCUGAACCCGGC
rnacentral:lncRNA from 1 species